AAAGGAAUACAAAUUUUUUAUUGUUUGGAUACAAUUUUGAAAUAUCGUCUACCCAAAUCCUAGGUUCUAACCUGUAGGGGUUUCAAUAUCUAUACAAAUGUAUUUGCAUAUCAUACAGAAAAUAAUGUAAAACCUAUACUAAAGGAAGGGAAAAAAAGUUUAGCUUUUACGGCCUUGGGCCCCAAUCAUUCAGCAGUCUUUUUCUCGUUCUUCUAUACUCCUCUAAUCUUUAUCCGAAUCUCCAAGCGUCCAAUCCUUUUACUUUGUCCUCGAGCUUUUGCUUUCCA